rnacentral:rRNA from 1 species
ACUCCUACGGGAGGCAGCAGUGGGAAUAUUGGACAAUGGGGAAACCCGUGAUCCAGCCAUGCCGCGUGUGUGAAGAAGGCCUUCGGGUUGUAAAGCACUUUCAGUGGGAGGAAAGGUUGAUUGGUUAAUACCUAACAGCUGUGACGUUACCCAUCAUGAAGAAGCACCGGCUAACUCCGAUGCCAAGCAGCCGCGGUAAUACGGAGGGUGCAAGCGUUAAUCGGAAUUACUGGGCGUAAAGCGUGCGCAGGCGG